CMSGCYGKAAUCGCUGWASAGAUAGGCGCGGCCUUCGGGACAGAGGAGACAGGUGGUGCAUGGUUGUCGUCAGCUCGUGCGUGAGAUGUUGGGUUAAGUCCCGCAACGAGCGCAACCCUUGACUUUAGUUGCCAGCAGGUMGAGCUGGGCACUCUAGAGUGACUGCCGGUGACAAACCGGAGGAAGGYGGGGAUGACSUCAAAUCAUCMUGCCCCUUAUGACCUGGGSUACACACGUACUACAAUGGCCGGUACAACGGGRAGCGAAGCCGCGAGGCGGAKCCAAUCUUAUAAAGCCGGUCUCAGUUCGGAUUGCAGGCUGCAACUCGCCUGCAUGAAGUCGGAAUUGCUAGUAAUCGCGGAUCAGCAUGCCRCGGUGAAUACGUUCCCGGGUCKUGUWCACACCG
rnacentral:rRNA from 1 species